rnacentral:rRNA from 1 species
GAUGAACGCUGGCGGCGUGCCUAAUACAUGCAAGUCGAGCGAACGGACGAGAAGCUUGCUUCUCUGAUGUUAGCGGCGGACGGGUGAGUAACACGUGGAUAACCUACCUAUAAGACUGGGAUCACUUCGGGAAACCGGAGCUAAUACCGGAUAAUAUUUUGAACCGCAUGGUUCAAAAGUGAAAGACGGUCUUGCUGUCACUUAUAGAUGGAUCCGCGCUGCAUUAGCUAGUUGGUAAGGUAACGGCUUACCAAGGCAACGAUGCAUAGCCGACCUGAGAGGGUGAUCGGCCACACUGGAACUGAGACACGGUCCAGACUCCUACGGGAGGCAGCAGUAGGGAAUCUUCCGCAAUGGUCGAAAGCCUGACGGAGCAACGCCGCGUGAGUGAUGAAGGUCUUCGGAUCGUAAAACUCUGUUAUUAGGGAAGAACAUAUGUGUAAGUAACUGUGCACAUCUUGACGGUACCUAAUCAGAAAGCCACGGCUAACUACGUG